rnacentral:lncRNA from 1 species
CGAAACCUCCAUCUGAAGCGGCUGCAAUCCCGCCGGAAGUGGGUGCUUCCAACCGGAGGCGCCAUCGGCGUCUCACGAAAAAGACGAAGAGCCGGCGCGGAUGAAGAAGAAGUGGACGAAGGAGAAGUCCACACUGCCUCCAACCGGAGGCGCCAUCCACGCCUCACGAAAAAGACGAGGAGCCGCCGCAGACGAAGCUCCCGCUGCCUCCAGGGGAACGCCACCUCCAAGGGAUAUUCCGGUCCUCCCCAGUGUUAGGGGAGAGAAGGAAUACAAGGGAGAAGAGCAUAUGGAGGCGCGGUCCCGGAUCAGGCGCCUGGUGCGGAGCUCAAUCGGGAGGCCGAACUUCAAG